UGGGGAAUCUUCCGCAAUGGACGAAAGUCUGACGGAGCAACGCCGCGUGAGUGAAGAAGGUUUUCGGAUCGUAAAACUCUGUCUUUUGGGGCGAACGUGAGUAUGGUGAACAAUCAUAGUCAGUGACGGUACCAAAGGAGGAAGCCACGGCUAACUACGUGCCAGCAGCCGCGGUAAUACGUAGGUGGCAAGCGUUGUCCGGAAUUAUUGGGCGUAAAGAGCGCGUAGGCGGGAUAGUCAGUCUGUUGUAAAGUGCGGGCUCAACCCCGUGAUCGCAAUGGAAACAGCUAUUCUUGAGUGCAGGAGAGGAAAGUGGAAUUCCCAGUGUAGCGGUGAAAUGCGUAGAUAUUGGGAGGAACACCAGUGGCGAAGGCGACUUUCUGGACUGUGUCUGACGCUGAGGCGCGAAAGCCAGGGGGAGCGAACGGGAUUAGAUACCCCCGGUAGUCCUGGCCGUAAACGAUGGGUACUAGGUGUGGGAGGUAUCGACCCCUUCCGUGCCGGAGUUAACGCAAUAAGUACCCCGCCUGGGGAGUACGGUCGCAAGACUGAAACUCAAAUGAAUUGAC
rnacentral:rRNA from 1 species